UUAUAGAGCCAGGAGGAAGCCUACAUAUCAAAAACGCACCAAUAGAAAAUAUUAAAAUUUGCAAGGCAACACACAAAUAAAGAUUAAAAUUUUUGCGAAUCACUCUCCUGUGUGUUUAGAGUAAAUUUAGUGUUUUAUGGUCGGAUGGAAGGGUUUGAGUAUGGAGAGAAGUCGGAGAAUCUGUCAAACUAAAAAAUCUCAACACCAUCUUAAAUUAUGGCGGAGGACGCGUCAUGAUAUCUGGGUGUUCAGCUUCGCGGGGGCUGGUACGCACGAAUUCAUCAAUUCUACCAAGCACCAAAUUUUGUACCAGAACCUACUAAAGAGAAAUGUUUAACAAUCAGCAGCAAAACUUCCCUUUGCAGGGUGCUACACCUUUCAGCAGGAGCGCGAACAUAAACGGACGGCCAAGUCCACCUGUGAAUUCUUGUGGCCAACAAGAUUAAUGUUCUCGAAUCGCAUCAGGAAAGACUGAAUCUCAAUCCUACUGAGCAGAGGUGGGGAGCACAUAUAUUUAGACAUCCGAAAACGCUCAAUUUCGAGCAUAGCUGACGUGAAAGCAGAAAUCUAAGCCCCUUUGAGUGACGUCGACCCUGAUAUCCCUCAGACAUUGGUUGCGUCCAUGUAACGUCGCUGAUAGGCUGUCAUAUUUUCAAAUAGAGGUCCAACAACGUACUAAGUGUUAAUGCUUUCAUUUAAAACUUAAAAUUGUAGAAAUAUUAAAUGUUUUAUUCGUUUUGGCGAUCACUUUUGCACCUGCCGUUUUUACUUUUUAUCUAAUCUACUCACUUGUGAUGAAAACUAUAAACUUUUAAGAAGACUCUUUGAUACUUAGUUGGAUAUUAAAUUGUCUACAAAACGCAGAAAAAAAUUCUGGAAAAUCUGUUAUUUUCAAAAAGUUAUGAGAAAUCAAACGGCAAACUUUCCCUUGGGCGAUGACAUCUGCUCUCCAGUGUAGUCGUAUAAAUGACCAAAGUUCAAAUGGUCAUAUUUUUCCGUGCUACAAUCAUAGAUCCACCCCGCUUUGUCAUUCCUAUUCUGCUCAUGGCCAAAACAUAGGACGUGGCCCAUUUCAUGAACCAUUUUUUCUCGACUGACACACGUUUCAAAUGUCGCAGUCGUUCUCCCCCCUGUGUAACAGCUAGCAGUACACUCUAAAAAAUAUCGAGUAAAAUUCACUCAAUUUUGAGCGAAAUUGCCACCAAGACAAGUAUUGAGUAAAAGUUAUCCAAUAAAAGUUAAACUUUAUCCAACUUUGAAAGAUUUUUGCUCAACCUUGACUAAAUUUUAACUUUGGCGCGGUAAAUUUUACUCAAUAGUUGCCUUGGUGGCAAUUUGACUCACCUUUUUUUACAGUGUAGAAUGGUAGAAUUGAAUAGAAUCUAUGUAGAUAUGUAGAUCUUUUUGGCAAAGGUUUCUACUGAAUUAUUAAUUCAUAAUAUAAUUUAUUUUAAAUUAAUCAGAAGUGUCAUUCUUCACACAAGUUAAUUUAUUUUAUAGUGUGUGACUUAAAUUACAGAGAAGAAGAUUAAACCGACUUCCGGCCUGGCUUGGUGUGAUCAUCGUUACAAAACUUCUUUUUUCUUAGUUUAUGUAGAUCUUUCGUCUUAAACCAAGUUCACCAUAAUUAAAUACGCCAUUUUGACCCUCACCAAAUAAAUGGCAAAACUACGCAAAUGAUAUUAAAUGCUUAGCAAACUUGCGGACUCCUUCCCUUUUACGAUCCAUGUCGGAGUUCCAUAAGCCCCGCAAGCAGUCGCGUAAUCUCCGUCAUGUAAUGUAUUUAGAAGAAUUAUUAACGGGACUGGUAUCGAUGACGUGGAAGGAACAUUGUGAGCCAUUGCUACAGAAUAAUAAGAUGAACUAUUGCCAAUCUUGGGGAAGUUAAUGGUCCAAAUGACGUUAUUUUUAUGGGACAGGGAAGAGGUGAAGAGGCACUUAUUUUCAGAUUAGGGAUCGUUAUCACCACAACUUAUUUAUUUUGUUGUAUUGGAAAUGUUCAGUGGAGCAGGGAAAUCUAUGCAGGAAAUCUAUGCAGGGGCCACGUCUCCACGCUUUGGAAAGUUACGGAUAGGGCGGAGAGGUCAAGUUUGAAAGCUCUCCCAAAUACGAUUCAAUACACCCUAAGUCACCCAAUUUAAUGGCGGAACCAUUUCACAUAUGGUUACCUUUACUUUUUGGGUGGACCCUCUCGAGGGUGAGACCUUAAGAGCCAAUCUUCCAUCUUGUCCUGGGAUGGGACCCAAGGAACUUAUGUUUCAAAUAUGUAUCAAGUCUCAAGGCCCAGCUUUUCGAAACGUAUGGACAGGCAGACAGAGAAGACUAUCUGAUAAAGGGGAUUCACCCCUUAAUAAAUACAUAUAUUUGAUUUUGAUUUAAUUUAAUUUUGAAAAUUUUGUUUUAACAAUUGCGGUUUGUAAGAUUUGGCACAACCAUAUUUCAUAUUGACGUAAAUAACAUACUAAAUUUACUUCAUAUA